AUAAUAGUGAAAAAUUGGUUCAUUUGCGAUUUUAAAUAUUUUAUUGAAAGAUUUUUUUCUAGAAUUGAAAUGAUUUGUGCAAAGGCUUCCUUCCUGAUAAAUCUAAAAUUUGAGUGUAUUCAUAAGCAACAUCUUUUGAUUAUUAAACAAAUUUUUAAAGCAGUUGUAAUUUCAUAUUAAUGUUUAUGUUUUUCCAAAUCAUUUAUUUAAUACCAAAAUACAUAUUAAGCAAUAUAUUUAAAAACGAAGACCUUCAUACAUAUUCAGUAAAAUAAUGUUUAUCUACAUGAAGUCAUUGCUCGUUAAGAAUUUUGGCAUUAUCUACAUAAAGUCAUGGCUCAUUAAGAAUUUUGGCAUUUAAUUAUAUCCUGAUCAAAUACUCAAACUGUUAUAAUGUUACUUAGUGUGAAUUUAGAUACAGAGGUUGUGGUAUCAAUAUACAUAUUCAAUCCAUACUUUGUUUUGUUUGAAUUAACAUUGAAAGUAUUGGUUGUGAUGCUAUUCUGUUUUUAUUAAUUUUCAAUAUUGUUAUUACUCUUUAUUCAGCUGUAUAUAUUUUUGUUGACACUUUGCAGAUAGAUGGCUAUUUUUUGUUCAUUACCAUUUACAAUAUAUUGGUAAUAAAACAUGUAUACACUUGGGCAUUAUAGUGGUGACAUGUUUUUGUUGACUUGGCAUUAUAGUGAUCACGUGUUUGUUGAUACACUUUCCAUGUUGGUGCUCUUGCAUUUUUUUUUUGUUGACAAUUUACAUUAUAGUGCCCUGUAACAUGUGUUUUUUUUUAACACUGCAUAAUAAUAACUGAAAGGGCAAUUCCAGAAAAUAAUAUGUUUAAUUAUAAGUAAUUUAAAUGGUGCUAAAAAAAAGUAGGUAUGGUGCUAGUAACAAUCAUUGUUUGUUGUAAAAUGGGCUUUUAGUUUGUUGAUAAUAUGUAACAUUGUAGUUUAUUCAGUCUAAAAACAUCUGGAACAUUUUAUUUCCACUUUAUAAUUUUGGAAUACAUGUAUGCUUUAUAAUUGUUAUUUAAUUCAUAUAUGACAUUUAUCUAAGUGAUUUGCAUGAUAUUAUCAUGCUAACAUUAUACUAUUCGCACAUCCAUUUUGAAGAAUACAUGUAGCUUACUUUUGUACAUGAAAAAAGUCAGUAAUUUUGUUCUUAAACCAUGUGACUACAAAAAUGUAUGGUAAACAAUAUUGCACAUUGUAUUUUCCAUUGCUUCAUUAGAGAAAGGAUUCUACGUUUUCCCAUUGAUUAAAAUAUGUAUCCACUCUCAUUAUUAAAUUCAAUAAGCCUCUCCUUUUAAAUUUUGAAAAUUUAAUAAUCUCGAUAAAUAUGGAGUUGUAGAAUCUUUAUGUAAAUAUUAGGAUAAAAAUUAAUUAUAUAUUAACUAAAACCAGCCUAUGGUUGAUAGUUUCCAGUAUUAAAAUUAACCAAUACCAGCCUAUGUUUGAUUGAUUUAUAUAUUUAAAUUAACCAGUAGCUGCCUUAGUUUGAUAGUUUUUUCUUCUCUUAAAGGUAAUCAAUACAAGCCUAUGGUUGAUAGUUUCCAAUAUAAAAAUCUGCCAAUACCAACCUAGGGUUGGUAAUUCACUUAUAUCAUGCAAGGGUCGGUAGUUUACAAUAUGUGAAUCCACCAGUACUAGCCUAGGUAUAUAGUUUCCAAUAUAAAAAUCAAUGGUAGUCAACAAUUUAAGAAUCCACUAAUGAACUAGGGUUGUUAGUUUCAAAUAUAAAAAUCCACAAAUACCAGGCCAGGGUUGGUAGUUUCUAAUAUAUAAAAAUACAAUAAUGUCAAGCUAGGGUUGGUAGUUUCCAAUAUAAAAAUCCACUAAUAUCAGGCUAGGAUUGGUAGUUUCAAAUACGAAAAUCUCCUAAUACCAGGCCAGGGUUGGUAGUUUCCAAUAUAAAAAUACACAAAUAUCAGGCUAGGGUUGGGAGUUUCCAAUAUAAAAAUACACAAGUGCCAGGCCAGGGUUGUUAGUUUCAAAUAUAUUAAAAUACAUUAAUAUCAGGCUAGGGUUGGGAGUUGCCAGUUUGAAAAUCCACUAUAUAAGGCUAGGGUUGGUAGUUCCAAUAUAAAAAUCAACCAAUACCAACAUAGGAUUGGGAGUUUCCAAUUUAAAAAUCCGCUAAUAUCAGGCUAGGGUUUGUAGUUUCCAAUAUAAAAAUCAACCAAUACCAACAUAGGAUUGGGAGUUUCCAAUAUAAAAAUCCGCUAAUAUCAGGCUAGGGUUGGUAGUUUCCAAUAUAAAAAUCAACCAAUACCAACAUGGGGUUGGGAGUUUCCAAUAUAAAAAUCUGCUAAUAUCAGGCUAGGGUUGGUAGUUUCCAAUAUAGAAAUCCACUAAUAUCAGGCUAGGGUUGGUAGUUUCCAAUAUAGAAAUUCAGUAAUAUAAGGCAAGGGUUGGGAGAUUCCAAUACGAAAAUCUGCUAAUAUCAGGCUAGGGUUGGUAGUUUCCAAUAUAGAAAUCCACUAAUAUCAGGCUAGGGUUGGUAGUUUCCAAUAUAGAAAUCCACUAAUAUCAGACUAGGGUUGGUAGUUUCCAAUAUAGAAAUCCACUAAUAUCAGGCUAGGAUUGGUAGUUUCCAAUAUAAAAAUCCGCUUAUAUUAUGCUAGGGUUGUUUGUUUCCAAUAUAAAAAUCCGCUAAUAUCAGGCUAGGGUUGUUAGUUUCCAAUAUAAAAAUCCACUGACAUCAGGCUAGGAUUGGUAGUUUCCAAUUUAAAAAUACCCUAAUAUCAAGCUAGGGUUGGUAGUUUCCAAUGUGAAAAUCCGCUAACAUCAGGCUAGGGUUGUUAGUUUCCAAUAUAAAAAUCCACUAACAUCAGACUAGGGUUGGGAGUUUCCAAUUUAAAAAUCCACUGUUAUCAGGCCAGGGUUGGUAGUUCCAAUAUAAAAAUCCACUAACAUCAGGCCAGGGUUGGUAGUUCCAAUAUAAAAAUCCACUAACAUCAGGAUAGGAUUGGUAGUUUACAAUAUGAAGAUUCCUUUAAUACAAGCCUAGGGUUGGUUGUUUCCAAUAUAAAAAAAACAAAAAAAAGCCUAGAGUUCAUCCCGUUAAUACUUUCCAACAUAAAAAUUUCUCAAUACAAGCCUACAGUUGGUAGUCUCAAAUAUAAAAUCCAAUAUAGUAUAGCCUAAAAUAAUACAGAAAUAAAUAUAUCUCUAUAAACACAAGUACAUGUAAAUAGUAACAUUUUUUUAGGUCAUUUUUGUACCAUGCGUUCCAUGGGGAGAAUAAACAAUGAGCUGAACAAAACUAAUCCCAAAUUUAAGGUAAGACUUAAGAAUAGAUUUGUUUGCUGUUUCUUUCACUCCCUCCAACUUUGGCUGUACCAUUAUUCCUGUAGGAAGUAUCUUCUCCAAUACCAAUUAACUUUUCUCUUAUGUUCAAUGAAGCAUAUGCUGAUUUUUUUAGGACCAGUUAAGUGAGGAUGAAAUUUUCUGAGUUGAAAUAACAGUAAACCUUGCAGGAUUUUGCAUAGGUCGCAUAAAGGGGGUGUGAAAAUUAAUUUAACCCCAUAAGCUUGAAAUUAAGUAUCAAACAUUUUGCACACUCAAAAAAGGUUGAUAACAAAAACAAUGGUAUAGAAAAGUUGCUUUUUAGCUCACCUAGCCUGAAGGGCCAAGUGAGCUUUUCUCAUCACUUGGUGUCAGUCGUCCGUCGUCGUCGUUAACUUUUACAAAAAUCUUCUCCUCUGAAACUACUGAGCCAAAUUUAACAAAACUUGGCCACAAUCAUCAUUAGGGUAUCUAGUUUAAAAAAUGUGUUCGAUGACCCGGCCUGCAAACCAACAUGGCAGACAUGGCUAAAAAUAGAACAUAGGGGUAAAAUGCAGUUUUUGGCUUAUAUCUCUGAAACUAAAGCAUUAAGAUCAAAUCUGACAUGGGUAAAAAUGUUCAUCAGUUUUAGAAUUAUCUGCCCUGAAAUUUUCAGAUGAAUCAGACAAGCCGUUGUUGGGUUGCUGCCCCUGAAUUGGUAAUUUUAUGGAAAUUUUGCAGUUUUGGGUUAUUAUCUUAAAUAUUAUUAUAGAUAGAUAAACUGUAAACAGCAAUAAUAAUGUUCAGCAAAGUACAAUCUACAAAUAAGUCAAUAUGACCAAAUUUUCAAUUGACCCCUUAAGGAGUUAUUGCCCUUUAUAGUCAAAUUUUUAACAAUUUUUUUCGUAAAUUUUUGUAAUCUUUUACAAAAAUCUUCUCCACUUAAUCUAUUAGGCCAAAAUAGAACUAAACUUAGCCACAAUAUUCAAUAGGGUAUCUUGAUUGAAAAAUGACCCUGCCAUCCAAACAACAUGGCGGCAAUGGCUAAAAAUAGAACAUAGGGAUUUACUUUAGAAGUCUAAGGGAAAAAUGUAAAAAAAACAAUUUCAAAUGUUCACAACUUGAAAAAAAAAUUUAAAUAAUGAUAAGGGGUCUUCAGUAACUAUUGUUAGUCUAGUUACUAGUGAGAUGACCUGCUUUUAAUUUAACUACUGGGCCAAAUUAAACCAAUUUGCCUCAUGCGCAAUCAUUAUUAGGGUAUCUAAAACUAUUUAUUAUGAUUUAAACCUUAUUUUACAUGAUUUCCAAAACAAACUUAGAUACAGGUGAGCGACACAGGCUCUUGAGAGCCUGUAGUUUUUUAUACUUAAAAAAGAUAUAUUUUGUAUAAUUUCCUAAAAUAUUAUUUCCCUUUUUUGGCUAAAUUAUUCUAAACAAUUUGAAUCAGUUUUUGUUUUGUUUUACAUUUUAAAAGUAUAGGAACUGCAGUUGAAUUUUCUUUUUUAGUCAUUAUUCAUAUAAAAGGUUACUAAGGUCUUUGGUAUAAAUACAUUUGACACUUGAAAAAAUAGUAACAGUUUUAUACAAUACUGGUUCUCUGAUGGGGGGGGGGGGGGGGGUGGUGGGGAGUUCAAUUAACAUACCUACCUCCUGUUCUUAAUAUUAUAUAGGAAGGAUAGAAUUGUGGCAUAACAUUCCACAGUGGCAUGGUGAUUAGAAUAGUAUUUGUUAACACAAAAUCUAUUGUUUUAUUGUGGUGGUAAUAAAAAAAAUGUUUUAGAAAAAUCACUAUGUUUUAUAUUUUAAAUAUCUUCAAAUAUUCUUAAAAGAUGUAUUUACAAAUAAUUAAAACCAAAUGUAAGUUGGAAGAUUAUAUAAGAAAAUGUUAUUUGGUAAAUUGGUUAUUAAAUUGUAAUCAUUUGACUUGCCCAUAUUGUUUGUAAAACCAGAAAAUGAUGUUUAAUUGUUAAAAAAAUCAAACAUAAAAAUUGAUAUCUUUCA